AGCUCCAAUAGCGUAUAUUAAAUUUGUUGCAGUUAAAAAGCUCGUAGUCUAUGUCGGAUCCUUUACAAGACGAAUCAUAAUCUUUCGGGAAAGUGAUUUAGUUCUAUGUAUUGGAUCACUGAGCUAUGUAAUAGAUGGUGGCUAUUAAGUUAGUAUCACUUUAUAUAACCGAACUACCUUGAGAAAACUAAGGUGUUCAAAGCAUGCGUGGCUGCAUGAAUAAAUUAGCAUGGAAUAGUAAUAGGAAUACAAAUUGCAAUGGUAAGCAAUGUAUUUCAGAGAUUAAUAGGAACGAUUGGGGAUAUUUGUAUUUAAUAGUCAGAGGUGAAAUUCUUGGAUUUAUUAAAGACAAACAGAUGCGAAAGCGUUUAUCAAGGACGUUUUCAUCA
rnacentral:rRNA from 1 species